UACAGAGGUGGCAAGCGUUGUUCGGAAUUACUGGGCGUAAAGGGCGCGUAGGCGGCCUGCUAAGUCGAACGUGAAAUCCCCGGGCUCAACCCGGGAACUGCGUCCGAGACUGGCGGGCUCGAAUUCGGGAGAGGGAUGCGGAAUUCCAGGUGUAGCGGUGAAAUGCGUAGAUAUCUGGAGGAACACCGGUGGCGAAGGCGGCAUCCUGGACCGAUAUUGACGCUGAUGCGCGAAAGCCAGGGGGGCAAACGGG
rnacentral:rRNA from 1 species